AGAGUUUGAUCCUGGCUCAGAUUGAACGCUGGCGGCGUGCCUAACACAUGCAAGUCGAGCGGUAACAGGCGUAGCAAUACGUGCUGACGAGCGGCGAACGGGUGAGCAAUGCUUCGGAAUCUACCCUCUGGUGGGGAAUAACCAGCCGAAAGGUUGGCUAAUACCGCAUACGACCUACGGGUGAAAGCAGGGGAUCGCAA
rnacentral:rRNA from 1 species